AUACGGAGGAUGCGAGCGUUAUCCGGAUUUAUUGGGUUUAAAGGGAGCGUAGGUGGGAUAUUAAGUCAGCUGUGAAAGUUUGGGGCUCAACCUUAAAAUUGCAGUUGAUACUGGUUUCCUUGAGUACGGUAUAGGUGGGCGGAAUUCGUGGUGUAGCGGUGAAAUGCUUAGAUAUCACGAAGAACUCCGAUCGCGAAGGCAGCUCACCGGGCCGGAACUGACACUGAUGCUCGAAAGUGCGGGUAUCAAACAGGAUUAGAUACCCUGGUUGUCCGCACAGUAAACGAUGAAUACUCGCUGUUUGCGAUACACUGUAAGCGGCCAAGCGAAAGCGUUAAGUAUUCCACCUGGGGAGUACGCCGGCAACGGUGAAACUCAAAGGAAUUGACGGGG
rnacentral:rRNA from 1 species